rnacentral:rRNA from 1 species
UACGUAGGGCGCAAGCGUUAUCCGGAAUUAUUGGGCGUAAAGGGCGCGUAGGCGGCUUGGCAAGUGGAUGGUGAAAUCCCUCGGCUUAACCGAGGAACUGCCGUCCAAACUGCUUUGCUUGAGACCGGGAGAGGUGAGUGGAAUUCCCAGUGUAGCGGUGAAAUGCGUAGAUAUUGGGAGGAACACCAGUGGCGAAGGCGGCUCACUGGACCGGUACUGACGCUGAUACGCGAAAGCGUGGGGAGCAAACGGG